rnacentral:rRNA from 1 species
UACAGAGGGUGCAAACGUUGUUCGGAAUUACUGGGCGUAAAGCGCGUGUAGGCGGCCGGGUAAGUCGGGUGUGAAAUCCCACGGCUCAACCGUGGAAGUGCACUCGAAACUACCUGGCUGGAGUCCCGGAGAGGAAGGCGAAAUGCUCGGUGUAGAGGUGAAAUUCGUAGAUAUCGAGCGGAACACCGGUGGCGAAGGCGGCCUUCUGGACGGUGACUGACGCUGAGACGCGAAAGCGUGGGGACCAAACAGG